UGGGUCGGCCAGACGGUCGCGUCGCGGGAGACCGCGCCGAGGAACGUCCGGGCUCCGCAGGGCAGGGCGGUGGGUAACACCCACCCGGAGCAAUCCGCGAGACAGUGCCACAGAGAGCAGACCGCCGGCAGCAGCCGGUAAGGGUGAAAGGGUGGUGUAAGAGACCACCGGGGGCGCGGUGACGCGCCCCGCACGGUAAACCUCGCCCGGAGCAAGGCCAGACAGGGGAUGUUGACGCGGCCCGCCGAGUCCCCGGGUAGGCCGCUGGAGCGUCACGGCAACGUGACGCCGAGAGAGAUGACCGUCACCGGGGUUCGCCCCCGGGACAGAACCCGGCGUAUCGGCCGGCCCAUUCG
rnacentral:RNase_P_RNA from 4 species